GGACCAUCAUGUCGGUCGUGCCUCGGUACGUACUGGUAUUGUUGGUUUCUCCCUUCUGACGAACCAUGAUGUCAUUUAUUUGGUGUUGUGGGGAAUCAGGACUGUUACUUUGAAAAAAUUAGAGUGUUUAAAGCAGGCUCACGCUUGAAUACAUUAGCAUGGAAUAAUGAAAUAGGACGUUUGAUUCUAUUUUGUUGGUUUUUAGAGCUGCGGUA
rnacentral:rRNA from 1 species